AACUCUGGUAUUGAUUGGUGCUUGCAUCAUGAUUUACAUUUGAGUGAGUGGCGAACUGGUGAGUAACACGUGGGAAACCUGCCCAGAAGCGGGGGAUAACACCUGGAAACAGAUGCUAAUACCGCAUAACAACUUGGACCGCAUGGUCCGAGGCUUGAAAGAUGGCUUCGGCUAUCACUUUUGGAUGGUCCCGCGGCGUAUUAGCUAGAUGGUGGGGUAACGGCUCACCAUGGCAAUGAUACGUAGCCGACCUGAGAGGGUAAUCGGCCACAUUGGGACUGAGACACGGCCCAAACUCCUACGGGAGGCAGCAGUAGGGGAAUCUUCCACAAUGGACGAAAGUCUGAUGGAGCAACGCCGCGUGAGUGAAGAAGGGUUUCGGCUCGUAAAACUCUGUUGUUAAAGAAGAACAUAUCUGAGAGUAACUGUUCAGGUAUUGACGGUAUUUAACCAGAAAGCCACGGCUAACUACGUGCCAGCAGCCGCGGUAAUACGUAGGUGGCAAGCGUUGUCCGGAUUUAUUGGGCGUAAAGCGAGCGCAGGCGGUUUUUUAAGUCUGAUGUGAAAGCCUUCGGCUCAACCGAAGAAGUGCAUCGGAAACUGGGAAACUUGAGUGCAGAAGAGGACAGUGGAACUCCAUGUGUAGCGGUGAAAUGCGUAGAUAUAUGGAAGAACACCAGUGGCGAAGGCGGCUGUCUGGUCUGUAACUGACGCUGAGGCUCGAAAGUAUGGGUAGCAAACAGGAUUAGAUACCCUGGUAGUCCAUACCGUAAACGAUGAAUGCUAAGUGUUGGAGGGUUUCCGCCCUUUCAGUGCUGCAGCUAACGCAUUAAGCAUUCCGCCUGGGGAGUACGGCCGCAAGGCUGUGAAACUCAAAGGAAUUGACGGGGGCCCGCACAAGCGGUGGAGCAGGCAGUUUAAUUCGAAGGCUACGCGAAGAACCUUACCAGGUCUUGACAUACUUUAUAUGCAUCUCUAAGAGAUUAGACGUUCCCUUCGGGGACAUGGAUACAGGUGGUGCAUGGGUUGUCGUCAGCUCGUGUCGUGAGAUGUUGGCUUAAGUCCCGCAACGAGCGCAACCCUUAUUAUCAGUUGCUAGCAUUAAAGUUGGGCACUCUGGUGAGACUGCCGGUGACAAACCGGUGGACGGUGGGGAUGACGUCAAAUCAUCAUGCCCCUU
rnacentral:rRNA from 2 species